GCAUGUGAAGGGCAUCUGUUUGUAACACAUCUCCUCUGUUGGCCAAGGUUGUUCCAGCUGAUUUGGCAGAAAAAAGCAGUCACUUCCUCCUUUUUCUCACCAUUCUACCUGGGCACCUGCCAAAAAUGCUCAUUUGGUCAAGAAACACAACCUUCCAAACAGAAGGACCAUUUAUCUUAUCAAGGGUAUUCAAGGAUUUGUACUUUCCUGCUGCAAGUUCUAAAUAGGCUUAUUUAGGGCCCGUGGGAGGGUGACAUAGGAUGGUAAAUUUUCCAAGACCCCCUCUCUCUAAAAACCUGUUCCCGAGAUGAACAAAAUUU
ensembl:misc_RNA 7SK 7SK RNA